CCUACGGGCGGCAGCAGUAGGGAAUAUUGCUCAAUGGGGGAAACCCUGAAGCAGAAACGCCGCGUGGAGGAUGAAGGUUUUCGGAUUGUAAACUCCUUUUGUUAGAGAAGAUAAUGACGGUAUCUAACGAAUAAGCACCGGCUAACUCCGUGCCAGCAGCCGCGGUAAUACGGAGGGUGCAAGCGUUACUCGGAAUCACUGGGCGUAAAGAGCGCGUAGGCGGGAUAGCAAGUCAGAUGUGAAAUCCUAGGGCUUAACCAUAGAACUGCAUGUGAAACUGUUAUUCUAGAGUAUGGGAGAGGUAGGUGGAAUUCUUGGUGUAGGGGUAAAAUCCGUAGAGAUCAAGAGGAAUACUCAUUGCGAAGGCGACCUGCUAGAACAUAACUGACGCUGAUGCGCGAAAGCGUGGGGAGCAAACAGGAUUAGAUACCCGUGUAGUC
rnacentral:rRNA from 1 species